rnacentral:rRNA from 1 species
GGGGAAUCUUGGACAAUGGGCGCAAGCCUGAUCCAGCCAUGCCGCGUGAGUGAAGAAGGUCUUCGGAUUGUAAAGCUCUUUUACCAGGGACGAUAAUGACGGUACCUGGAGAAUAAGCCCCGGCAAACUUCGUGCCAGCAGCCGCGGUAAUACGAAGGGGGCUAGCGUUGUUCGGAAUUACUGGGCGUAAAGCGCACGUAGGCGGGUCGUUAAGUCAGGGGUGAAAUCCCGGAGCUCAACUCCGGAACUGCCUUUGAUACUGGCGAUCUAGAGAUCGGAAGAGGUUAGUGGAAUUCCCAGUGUAGAGGUGAAAUUCGUAGAUAUUGGGAAGAACACCAGUGGCGAAGGCGGCUAACUGGUCCGAUACUGACGCUGAGGUGCGAAAGCGUGGGGAGCAAAC